UACAGAGGUGGCAAGCGUUGUUCGGAAUUACUGGGCGUAAAGGGCGCGUAGGCGGUUCGUUAAGUCCUGUGUGAAAUCCCCCGGCUCAACUGGGGAACUGCACAGGAAACUAGCGGGCUUGAGUUCGGGAGAGGGAGGCGGAAUUCCGGGUGUAGCGGUGAAAUGCGUAGAUAUCCGGAGGAACACCGGUGGCGAAGGCGACUUCCUGGACCGACACUGACGCUGAGGCGCGAAAGCUAGGGGAGCAAACGGG
rnacentral:rRNA from 1 species